rnacentral:rRNA from 1 species
ACUGACGCUAAAGCUCGAAGGUGCGGGUAUCGAACAGGAUUAGAUACCCUGGUAGUCCGCACGGUAAACGAUGGAUGCCCGCUGUUUGCGAUAUAGUGUGAGCGGCCAAGCGAAAGCGUUAAGCAUCCCACCUGGGGAGUACGCCGGCAACGGUGAAACUCAAAGGAAUUGACGGGGGCCCGCACAAGCGGAGGAACAUGUGGUUUAAUUCGAUGAUACGCGAGGAACCUUACCCGGGCUUGAACUGCAGCAGAACGAUUGAGAGAUCAUGAGGUCCUUCGGGACUGCUGUGGAGGUGCUGCAUGGUUGUCGUCAGCUCGUGCCGUGAGGUGUCGGCUUAAGUGCCAUAACGAGCGCAACCCCUCUCUUCAGUUGCCAUCACUUCGGGUGGGCACUCUGGAGACACUGCCACCGUAAGGUGUGAGGAAGGUGGGGAUGACGUCAAAUCAGCACGGCCCUUACGUCCGGGGCUACACACGUGUUACAAUGGGUGGUACAGAGCGUCGGCCGCCGGCAACGUCGGUCCAAUCGUGAAAUCCAUCCUCAGUUUGGACUGGGGUCUGCAACCCGACCCCACGAAGCUGGAUCGCUAGUAAUCGC